rnacentral:rRNA from 1 species
AACGAACGCUGGCGGCAUGCCUAACACAUGCAAGUCGAACGAGACCUUCGGGUCUAGUGGCGCACGGGUGCGUAACGCGUGGGAAUCUGCCCUUGGGUUCGGAAUAACUCAGAGAAAUUUGAGCUAAUACCGGAUGAUGACGUAAGUCCAAAGAUUUAUCGCCCAGGGAUGAGCCCGCGUAAGAUUAGGUAGUUGGUGGGGUAAAGGCCUACCAAGCCGACGAUCUUUAGCUGGUCUGAGAGGAUGAUCAGCCACACUGGGACUGAGACACGGCCCAGACUCCUACGGGAGGCAGCAGUGGGGAAUAUUGGACAAUGGGCGAAAGCCUGAUCCAGCAAUGCCGCGUGAGUGAUGAAGGCCUUAGGGUUGUAAAGCUCUUUUACCCGGGAAGAUAAUGACUGUACCGGGAGAAUAAGCCCCGGCUAACUCCG